rnacentral:lncRNA from 10 species
UCCAAAAGUGCUGGGAUUACAGGCGUGAGCCACCACGCCCAGCCCAGCUAAUUAUUUUUUAAUAGAGACUGAGUCUCACUAUGUUGCCCAGGCUGGUCUCAAAUUCCUGGUCUCAAGCUAUCCUCCAGUCUUGGCUUCCCAAAGUAUUGUGAUUACAGGCAUGAGCCACUGAGCCUGGCUUUAUAGCAGAUUAUUAAAAUAUAUCUGGUCAGUGUAAACCAGUAAACUAUAUGGUUUAGACAGGAGUAUUGACUCUAAAAUUAACUUUCAAGUCUCAAUUAUUCAGUUUGAUAGAAUUGACAAAUAUUACCUUCACCAUACACAACUUAAUCUCAGUGUACAGAUGUUAGAAUUCAUAAAGUGCCAAUAUGACUCACUGAUAGACAGGAGAAUACAGAUUAAUAAAAUAGAGCUAUAACUUAAUUUUGAGUUUCAAAGAUAACCAAUAUUUCCAUUAAAUAAAAUACAAAUAUACUGAUAAAGCUCAAUACUGAACUAUGGGUUUCAACUUAUGUAAUGGUAAUUGUCCCCAAGUAUAUUGAUGUGUUGGCUUUUUGAAAUUUAGAACAGACUUUUUCUGUACUACUACAAAUACAAGUUGGCCCCAGACUAGGUUAGAAAAUAUAUGCAAAACUUAAUCUAACUUAAUUAAAACACGAAUAGCAGUAGUUGAAUUCUGUUCUCUAGAAACCAAGAGCCAAGUAACUUAGGUGGGAAUAAUUAAAAAAAAAAAAAAAAGCAAAAGCUUUUCUUCUGGACCUAAGAACAGCUUUCAGGAAAAUUUUGAAAUGGCUGCCCUUUGCCUUGAAAUCUUUGUAACUCCCUUUCUGGGUUCCUCUUAUGUCUGGGUGGAGUUCAUUCUCUUCCUCAUCUCCCAAUUAUUUGUGAUAUUCUUUUUUUUGAGAUGGAGUCUCAUUCUGUCACCCAGGCUGGAGUGCAGUGUCAUGAUCUCGGCUCACUGCAGCCUCUGCCUCCUGGGUUCAAGCGAUCCUCCUGUCUCAGCCUCCCGAGUAGCUGGGAUUAGUAGAGAUGGGGUUUCACCGUGUUGGCCAGGCUGGUCUCAAACUCCUGACCUCAAGUUAUCCACCCGCCUUGGCCUCCCAAAGUGCUGGGAUUACAGGCAUGAGCCACUGCGUCUGGCCUCUUUGUGGUAUUCUGAGUCUUCUCCACACGGGGCCAACUCCAGCCUCACUGACGCAGGAACUUGUCCAGAUUCCCCAUAAAUACUGACUCCCUGUCUCACAUUCCAGUCCACAGCCAUUUUACCAAAACAAUUGCUGUCAGAGAGAGGCCAGGAAGGAAGCAAUCUGAUUUAAUUAAACAAAAUGUGCUUGCAAUCCUUAUUUUACAAUAAUACUACGCACUGGCUAGGUGCGGUAGCUCACACCUGUAAUCCCAGCACUGUAGGAGGCCGAGGUGGGCAGAUCACUUGAAACCAGGAAUUCGAGACCUGCCUGGCCAACAUGGCAAAACCUUGUCUCUAUCCAAAAAUACAAAAAAACGGCUGGGUUGCCGGUGGCUCACACCUGUAAUUCCAGCUAAUUGGGAGGCUGAGGCAUAAGAAUCACUUGAAUCUGGGAGGCGGAGGUUGCAGUGAGCCGAGAUCACCCCACUACACUCCAGCCUGGGCCACCGGGUAAGACCCUGUUUCAAAAAACAAAGCAACAUCAACAAAAAACCCUGAAAAACUAAGCAUCACAAAUACUUACCGGGCAAGUUUUCAGAUUCUCACAAUUUGGAAGGAGAAACUAUCACAAGAAUGGGAAAUCCCUUUAAGGUAAUGGGCAGACUCAAAGGCUGCUGUCCUAUGAUCGUGCCAUUUAACUUACAGCAAGAAAUAUGACCUUCAGCUUCUGAAUCCAGGCUCUUCACUUCCUCUAGGGUUAUGAAGUUUCCCUCUGCAUGGCACAGGGGGAUGGAGGAGAGGGCUCUGCAGGUGGCUGGGUAUUGGGCUAUUUAAUGUCAGAAACUGCUUUAAAUAAUUUAGGGAAGCAAAAUUUGCAUUCUUAUUUACAUUUGGCUCAGGAUUAAUUUGGAAUUGGUUAUAUUUCAUCAACACACACCCACUUUAGGGUUACAAGGGAAAUC